rnacentral:misc_RNA from 1 species
AGCUGAGCUAUCCGACCAUUCCAGCGUAGUAUCCCAUCCUCGUUUUAUUAGUUUAUUAGAUGACUGGGGUCUAUGUCAAUUAAARGGACAAGGAGGAUUACAGAGUUUUCUCCAAGUCCUGUAUUUUCUUGGAUCUUCAAAAAAAGACGACUUUAUAAGUUUCAGUAUUAGUAAUAUUAAAUCAAAUGGGUAUUCUUUGCUAAAUUUGGAUGUGCAUUCUAUAUCACAUGGGAUACGAGAAAGUCAUUAAGAUAAAGGAAUUUGUAACCGCAGGGGGUAGGAGAAAAAUUUUGGGAGUCAAAUAGGCUUUUUUGGGGAUAGAGGGACUUGAACCCUCACGAUUUUUAAAGUCGACGGAUUUUCCUCUUACUAUAAAUGCAUUGUUGCCGGUAUUGACAUGUAGAAUGGGACUCUAUCUUUAUUCUUGUCCGAUUGAUCAGUUCGUUAAAAGGUAUAUCGGACUAUGGAGUGAAUGGUUUGAUGAAUAAAUAUUUGAUUUCUUCAAUGUGGAAUCAAUUCACACCAAUUCUUCCAUUUUUAAUAUAAAAAAAUAUAGUAUUCAAUAGAUAUUUUCCCUUUUCCUCUCUGAAGUUUCGGCGGAAAUAUUUUCUUACCCUCGCGGUCAACCCCAUUUGUUAGAACAGCUUCCCUUGAGUUUUUGACCCAUCCCUUUUUUUUUUUUCGUUUUCGGAACCUUUCUUUUGAGAAAACAGGAUUUGGCUCAGGAUUGCCCAUUUUUAUUAAUUCCGGGGUUUCUCUAAUUGAAAGUUAUCACUUAGUAGGUUCCCAUAC